CCAAUAGCGUAUAUUAAAGUUGUUGCAGUUAAAAAGCUCGUAGUUGAAUUUCGGGAUCAGUACGCUGGUCAUGCCUUUGGUAUGCACUGGUGUCACUGGUUUCUCCCUUCUGAAGAACCGUGAUGUCAUUAAUUUGGUGUCGCGGGGAAUCAGGACUGUUACUUUGAAAAAAUUAGAGUGUUUAAAGCAGGCUCACGCUUGAAUACAUUAGCAUGGAAUAAUGAAAUAGGACGUUUGACCCUAUUUUGUUGGUUUCUAGGAUCGACGUAAUGAUUAAUAGGGAUAGUUGGGGGCAUUAGUAUUCAAUUGUCAGAGGUGAAAUUCUUGGAUUUAUUGAAGACUAACUACUGCGAAAGCAUUUGACAAGGAUGUUUUCAUUAAUCAAGAACGAAAGUUAGGGGAUCGAAGACGAUCAGAUACCGUCGUAGUCUUAACCAUAAACUAUGCCGACUAGGGAUCGGAUGAUGUUAAUUUUAUAAUGACUCAUUCGGCGCCUUACG
rnacentral:rRNA from 1 species